UUUAUUUGUUUAUUUAAUAUGACAGAUUAGUGUGGUGAAUUUAAGAUUCAUUUAUAUAAAUA
rnacentral:tRNA from 1 species